AGUGAUCGCUGGCGGCGUGCUUAACACAUGCAAGUCGAGCGAAUUCUGACAGUGUAUCGUCAGAGUUAGCGGCAGACGGGUGAGUAAUACUUGGGCAAUCUGCCCUCGAGAGGGAAACAACCUGCCGAAAGGUGGGCUAAUGUCCCAUAAGACCACAGGAAUGCAUAUUCCAGAGGUCAAAGCUCCGCAAGGGGCGCUUGAGGAGGAGCCCGAGUCCUAUCACGGUAGUUGGUGAGGUAACGGCUCACCAAGCCUUUGACGGGUAG
rnacentral:rRNA from 1 species